UAUACAAGGUUACAGAGACUGAUCAACAUCUAUACAAGGUUACAGAGACUGAUCAACAUCUAUACAAGGUUACAGAGACUGAUCAACCUCUAUACAAGGUUACAGAGACUGAUCAACAUCUAUACAAGGUUACAGAGACUACUGAUCAACAU
rnacentral:lncRNA from 1 species